rnacentral:rRNA from 1 species
UACGUAGGGUGCGAGCGUUAAUCGGAAUUACUGGGCGUAAAGCGUGCGCAGGCGGUUCUGAAAGUCAGCUGUGAAAGCCCCGGGCUUAACCUGGGAAUUGCGGUUGAAACUACAGGGCUAGAAUCUGGCAGAGGGGGGUGGAAUUCCACGUGUAGCAGUGAAAUGCGUAGAGAUGUGGAGGAACACCGAUGGCGAAGGCAGCCCCCUGGGCUGAGAUUGACGCUCAGGCAUGAAAGCGUGGGGAGCAAACAGG